rnacentral:piRNA from 1 species
UAUGUCUCCGUCAAAGACAAGUCUGUGUGUC